UUAGAUAAUCGCGGGGCUUAGGCCACGAGGAAAGUCCGUGCACCAUAGAGCAAGGAUGCUUGAUAACGUCAAGUAGGAGUGAUCUUCAGGCAAGUGCAACAGAAAGUAUACCGCCAAAAUUUGGUAAGGUUGGAAUGGCGAGGUAAGAGCUCACCAGCUGUCCUAGUGAUAGGCAGGCUAUGUAAACCCCAUCCGGUGCAAGAACAAAAGGACGCAAAAGGGCUUGCUCGGUCCUGUCCGCAAAAUGGUAGUUCGCUUGAGCUUACUAGCAAUAGUAAGCCUAGAUAGAUGAUUAUCCACGACAGAACACGGCUUACAGAUUUACUCUU
rnacentral:RNase_P_RNA from 1 species